AGGGACCAUUCCCAGCAAUGACACCUGGAGCUGCUUGUGCUGCAUGGAGGGCUCAUGUGUGGACCCUGGUGCCUGUGCUCCUUGCCCUGUGGGACACUACCAGCCUGAGGGGGGACAGCAGCAGUGCCUGCCGUGUCCAAAGGGACGUUACGCCAACACUACGAGGAGCACCGUGUGCUCACCCUGCCUGCCUGGCCACUAUGCCAACGAGUCGGGGGCCGCAGCCUGCAGCGCGUGCCAGAAAGGUUAUUUUAGCUCACAGCAAAAUGCAGCUUCUUGUCUGCCUUGCCUGCCUGGAUCGUUCUGCAACACCACCAGCUGCACGCUGUGUCUGGCCUGUCCUGCUGGGCGUGAGGCUCCACGGGAGGCUGCUGAGGAGUGUACACUGUGCCGGGCAGGUACGUUCAAAGGUCUGGGUGAUGACACCUGCAAGCCCUGCGAGCCAGGGGAAUACCAACUGCAGCAGGGCCAGGAGAGCUGUGACCUGUGUCCAGAGAACCACUACUGCCCUAGCCCAGAUGUGAACCCAAUCAAGUGCCCUCCUGAUGCCUUCUGCCCUGUGGGCAGCACUGAGCCCCAGUACUGCAUGGAGAUCUUCCUGUACAAGGUGGGCAGCUCCUGCCAGCUGACGCCACUGGUGAUCGUCCUCCUGGCCCUCUUCUCAGCAGGCGCAAUUCUUAUAAUCUUUGUACUAAUUCUGAGAAGAAGGCAAGAACACAGCACAAUUGCUUCUACCCGAGCAGGAACUAACACAAAUAUUCCUCCUUUAAGGAAGAUGCACGUUUACUUAUUUAUUUGCCCUUCUCAAAACUUUACCUAUACUUGAAACUGAGGGUCAGCUGAAAAAAGGAAUCCCACACUUUUCCCUUCCUCUCAGCUGUGGGAAAACACGUGCAGCUGAACUUAUGGUUGACUCCUGGACAAAUGUGUCCCUUCUGUUUCCUGCUGUGGUGCUGCGGUCUCUCAUGCAGUUCUUCAUAUUACUCCACAGAGCUACAGAAGCAACACCCUCCUCCUCCUUCUCCAGUGCAAUUCAUUCGCAUACCAUGCAGGCUGCAAAGCCCUGCUCAGAUCAUCCAGCUGUGACACUUCCACAGCGCUGUGCUUCAUCAGCUCUGAGAGCCCUGGUAAAAAUAGUACUUAAUAUUGUGAGAGCUGUGCUUUCAAGUGAGUGUGCACGGAGGUGGAAGCAGGUGUUACUUCUCACUGGAGCCCUUUCCCUGAGCUAAAGCAGCAGCAGCCAGCUGAAGGAACCCAGCUGGUGGGGGUUAAGUGGCUGCUGCCCUCCACUGCUCAUUCUUCUCAUCCCUGGGGAGGUUAUUGUGCUUUUCAAGAAAAAGGAAAUAAACAACCG
rnacentral:lncRNA from 7 species